CAAUUACAUAGACAACAAAACAUUCGAUGCUCAAAGAAAUUUGGAAAAUAAAGGUAGUGGGAGAUUACCCAGAGGUCUCAGCAGAGGAUACACAAAUAAUGCGACCAUUGGGAAAGACCCAGUAAAGCUUGGCCUGGCUUUCUAUACUGCUUACCUGGAAUAGAAGUUUCCUGACCAAAAAAAAAAAAAAAAAAAAAAAGUUUCCUGACCAAGUCUCAAUGUUAUGUUUUCAGAAUAAACUGUUUUUUCAUUUUAUCCAGUCCUUUAUUGCUUCAUUAAACUCCCAAACUCCAAGCAAAACCUGGAGAAGAGACUUCAGUUAAUUGAAUAGAAAUUUAAUUAUGUCAGAAAGUGGCCCUUGUUUCCCUUUAAAUGACUCGGAAAAGACCUUAAUUGUGCCUUUUCCACCCAAGUGAACUGAGAAAACAAUGUAAAA
rnacentral:lncRNA from 1 species